rnacentral:rRNA from 1 species
UACGUAGGGCGCAAGCGUUGUCCGGAAUUAUUGGGCGUAAAGAGCUUGUAGGCGGUUUGUCGCGUCUGCUGUGAAAAUCCGGGGCUCAACCCCGGACUUGCAGUGGGUACGGGCAGACUAGAGUGUGGUAGGGGAGACUGGAAUUCCUGGUGUAGCGGUGAAAUGCGCAGAUAUCAGGAGGAACACCUGUGGUGUAGACAGCUUACUGGACCAUUUCUGACGCUGAGACACGAAAGCGUGGGUAGCAAACAGG